AGACACCCUUCUGGGGCAAGACUUGCUUCAGUGGGGCUUUGGUGCUCACUGAGUCUGCCUCCUUAGUGUGUCCCU
rnacentral:pre_miRNA from 1 species